GAUCAGUGAAGAACCUAUCCUGAACCUGAUUGCUUGAUGAAAAGCAUCUGAUUUGAGAUUAGACUGCUGUUGAU